AUGCCUGCAUACUGCUUUGAACAUCGACAUCUUGAACGCAUAUUGCGGCUACGGGAUAUCCUGUGGCCACGCCUGUCCGAGGGUCGGCUUUUCAUCUAUCACGGCGCACAUGUCGUGGAUUGGGCGAGUGCCUGCCGGCGUGUAUACCCGCAUAUCAACGCGGGUUGCUGGUCGAAGGCUCCGUCCUCCGGCCACAGCCUAGUCCGGUCUAGACUUGAUCGAGAUGCUGCGGUGGGUUGUGCUCGAGUCGUGGCUCAUUAUACGCGCUCGGGAAGAAUCGCACCUAUCGUACGCUACGUUGGUCACUUGAUCUUGUCUCUAUGGUUCGGUCUACGGUUUGUACCGGUGUGUGUAAUACGCACGAAUUGUAUAAUUGACCCUGACCUCGGAGACGUGAUUACCCGCACUGCAUAUCACGCGGAGGAAAAGAAACUAACGAGGUAA
rnacentral:rRNA from 1 species